rnacentral:rRNA from 1 species
GCAUCAGGAUUUACAUUUGAGUGAGUGGCGAACUGGUGAGUAACACGUGGGAAACCUGCCCAGAAACGGGGGAUAACACCUGGAAACAGAUGCUAAUACCGCAUAACAACUUGGACCGCAUGGUCCGAGUUUGAAAGAUGGCUUCGGCUAUCACUUUUGGAUGGUCCCGCGGCGUAUUAGCUAGAUGGUGGGGUAACGGCUCACCAUGGCAAUGAUACGUAGCCGACCUGAAAGGGUAAUCGGCCACAUUGGGACUGAGACACGGCCCAAACUCCUACGGGAGGCAGCAGUAGGGAAUCUUCCACAAUGGACGAAAGUCUGAUGGAGCAACGCCUCGUGAGUGAAGAAGGGUUUCGGCUCGUAAAACUCUGUUGUUAAAGAAGAACAUAUCUGAGAGUAACUGUUCAGGUAUUGACGGUAUUUAACCAGAAAGCCACGGCUAACUACGUGCCAGCAGCCGCGGUAAUACGUAGGUGGCAAGCGUUGUCCGGAUUUAUUGGGCGUAAAGCGAGCGCAGGCGGUUUUUUAAGUCUGAUGUGAAAGCCUUCGGCUCAACCGAAGAAGUGCAUCGGAAACUGGGAAACUUGAGUGCAGAAGAGGACAGUGGAACUCCAUGUGUAGCGGUGAAAUGCGUAGAUAUAAUGGAAGAACACCAGUGGGCGAAGGCGGCUGUCUGGUUCUGUAACUGGACGCUGAGGCUCGAAAGUAUGGGUAGG